rnacentral:rRNA from 1 species
GGACUACUAGGGUUUCUAAUCCUGUUUGCUCCCCACGCUUUCGCGCCUCAGCGUCAGUCUCGGUCCAGAGAGCCGCCUUCGCCACCGGUGUUCUUCCCAAUAUCUACGAAUUUCACCUCUACACUGGGAAUUCCACUCUCCUCUCCCGAUCUCUAGCUCCGCCGUCCCAAGCGCAAUUCCCAGGUUAAGCCCGGGGCUUUCACGCCUGACAAACAAAGCCGCCUGCGCGCCCUUUACGCCCAGUAAAUCCGAACAACGCUCGCCCCCUUCGUAUUACCGCGGCGGCUGGCAC